rnacentral:misc_RNA from 1 species
UUACUGAACAGCCCCAUUCCUCCAUCUCCGCGGCCUAAUCUCUCACAGGCACUGAGAAUCACAUUCUCAGAAUCAACCCAAGCAAUAUCAUUCACUCUCUGGUAAUCAAGAUUGAUUGGUGGAUGCUCUUCCAUCAUCCAAUCAUAGACACGCACCAUACUUCCAUGAGCCACACAGCACCCACCAUCCGGUCCUGCACGAAUUGCCGUGCCAUCCCCUGGUGCCCGGCCAGUGACAGACCGGGAAUACCGAAGUCUGUUUGCAUCAAAUGGACCCCAUUUGGCCGAUCUUACAUGGUCCAAGAGGCCGUAAAAUGACGCCUCUCGGUGGAGGAGUCUUUCCGGGACGUGGGGAGGGAUGUGGAGAUCGCCGGUGCGGAGAAGAUCGAGGAGGAUACCGAAACAAUCCGGGUUUCGAUCGAUGUAGAAUUCACUGUUGGGAUUGAGGUCAUUGAUGGGUUGUUUUAAAGCCCAAUUAUCGUCAAAAAAUGCCCCGAAAAAGGAGUUUUGCCCCGAAAAAGGAGUUUCUACAAAAGGAGUUUCUACCGGCAUUUGCCAAGGUCGUGGAGGUUGUCUCGAAGAUUCUGCCUCCGACGUUGAAUCGGACUCUGUCUUUGGCGAUCUUCAUGGUGGAAUUUUACGGAGAAUUUGAAGGGUUUUUGGAGCAGAGAGAACAAAGAAAGUGGGAUUAAGAAUCAGAGAUGAUGACCGAAGAAGGUAAAAAAAGAAAGAAAUGGAAUUGGGAGACUGAGUAGGUAGAAUUUCAAAAGAAGAACAGAAUCAGAAGAAAUUCCUAGAAAUUUGGAGGGAAUUGAGGGAUUGUGAUUUGCUUAGAUAUACUUUGAUUGGAAACAAAAUCCAAAAAUAGGAAAAUCUAACCACUAAGAAACAUCACAAGAGAAAUUUAUGAGAUAAAACAACAGAAACCUCCAAAGAGGCAAAGGAGAAGGCCUGAUUCAGGAGCAACUCAGAGGCUAACAAGUAACAACAUGGUGUUCAGUUGCUAGAGACAGACAAAAACAAAGCUUAGAAACAGGGGAUAUGAGAUUGAUCAAAGUAAAAAGGCAAAAAUUUUAUCAAAUUGUGGAACAUUGAGAUCUGGGUUUUCAAGAUCGAAGGUUUUUAGAGAUGGGUUUUGAAUUUUCUAGGAUUNNNNNNNNUUUAGCUAAUCGAACUCAAAAACAGUUAACACUCGUUUUGAUAAAUUUCUGUUUCUAUAACUUCUCCAUGUCUCCCAUUUUCCACGUCUGUCCCAUUAUUGCCCCCCUGAGGCUUAAACCAC